AAGAAUGCGGUCUGCACAGUCAACUCAGCAGAAGGAGUCCGAGCUGAAGAACUCGAGAAGCUGCCACAUCUGCCUGAAGAAACAAGCAGAGAAGAAUGCAGCCUGCACAGUCAACUCAGCAGAAGGAGUCCGAACUGAGGAACUCGAGCAUAUGCCACAUUCUGCCAGAAGAAUAGAUAAGGCAAGGGAAAUGAUACAUUGAAGCAUGUGGAGACAA
rnacentral:lncRNA from 1 species